rnacentral:rRNA from 1 species
GAUGAACGCUGGCGGCGUGCCUAAUACAUGCAAGUCGAGCGAACGGGCGAGAAGCUUGCUUCUCUGAUGUUAGCGGCGGACGGGUGAGUAACACGUGGAUAACCUACCUAUAAGACUGGGAUAACUUCGGGAAACCGUAGCUAAUACCGGAUAAUAUUUUGAACCGCAUGGUUCAAAAGUGAAAGACGGUCUUGCUGUCACUUAUAGAUGGAUCCGCGCUGCAUUAGCUAGUUGGUAAGGUAACGGCUUACCAAGGCAACGAUGCAUAGCCGACCUGAGAGGGUGAUCGGCCACACUGGAACUGAGACACGGUCCAGACUCCUACGGGAGGCAGCAGUAGGGAAUCUUCCGCAAUGGGCGAAAGCCUGACGGAGCAACGCCGCGUGAGUGAUGAAGGUCUUCGGAUCGUAAAACUCUGUUAUUAGGGAAGAACAUAUGUGUAAGUAACUGUGUACAUCUUGACGGUACCUAAUCAGAAAGCCACGGCUAACUACGUG